CUCCAUGGAAAGCAAAUCAGAAUGGCAUGCAAAGAAGACAGGCUCAGGUAGUCCAAUACCUGAUUCUUUCAAAUCAAAAAAGGCUUCCUCAAUGUGACAGAGGAGGUAAGACUAAGAAUCACUGAAUGACUUACAGAUCAUCAAACAUCUAGCCUACGCACUCUGAUAUGUAAAGAGCUUGGAAGUCAUCCCUCCCAUUCUUACAAGAAGAAAUAGUUGAACAAACUGACCCAAUUGAGAACUGAAGUUGCC